GGCCGACUAGCUCAGCUGGUUAGAGCGUCGUGCUAAUAACGCGAAGGUCCUGGGUUCGAUCCCCAUGUUGGCCA
rfam:Hydnomerulius pinastri MD-312 unplaced genomic scaffold scaffold_39, whole genome shotgun sequence.